rnacentral:rRNA from 1 species
UAGUCCACGCCGUAAACGAUGUGCACUAGGUUGGGGCCGUACUGACACGCGUCCUGGCCGAAGCGAAAGUGUUAAGUGCACCGCCUGGGGAGUACGGUCGCAAGGCUAAAACUCAAAGGAAUUGACGGGGGCUCACACAAGCGGUGGAGCAUGUGGCUUAAUUCGAAGCAACGCGAAGAACCUUAUCCUGGGUUUGACAUGUAUGGAUUAACUCUGUGAAAGCAGAGCCACACCUUCGGGUGGAACAUACACAGGUGCUGCAUGGCUGUCGUCAGCUCGUGCUGUGAAGUGUCGGGUUAAGUCCCUUAACGAGCGAAACCCCUGUCGUUAGUUGCUAGCAGGUAAUGCUGAGGACUCUAACGAGACUGCCGGUGUUAAACCGGAGGAAGGUGGGGAUGACGUCAAGUCCGCAUGGCCUUUAUGCCCAGGGCUGCACACGUGCUACAAUGCCUGGUACAAAGCGACGCGAGACCGCGAGGUGGAGCAAAUCGCAUAAAACCAGGCCC